GCCUCAUUACCCGGUUAACUAUUAACACGUGCCCCUCGGGACGGUUUUUGCCGCUCUCCCCUUUGAUGAGCUUACAUCCUUUCAAAUUUAAUUCAAAGGUCUGCUUUUGAGUUCCAGGCCUUUAGCGCCAAAUUCCAAACAGUUUGCCCACCCUCAGUGACAGGAUCCACACGGGUUGAAUUCAGAGAAAGUGGCUGCCCUUCUUUUCCUUCAGAGGGAUUGGUUCUGGCCUCCGGGCUUGCUGGCUCGUUUUCACACCUAUGCUAUAUACAUGUCAGUUCGCUUAGCCCAGCCUCUUAAAUAUUGCCAUUCGUUUAGUAUUGUUUAAGAUUUAUGGAUACUAGUCACACUUAUUGAUUUAACUAGGUAUUUAAAGUCACAUACACACACAGAUCUGGCCACUUUCACACCUCCUUUAUUUUUGUUGUUCAGUUUACCCAUAUACUGUUGCCAGUGUAGAAAAGACCAUCUGCCAGGGAGACCCUUUCAAAAUUAUCAGUCAGACAUGUCUUGAAUAAGGACCUAGAUGUGCUCCACUCAUAUCAGAAAGGAACCCUAGUAAGGCCAUGUCUAGCCAUCACACUACGUUGUAAUAUGUGCUUUGGCCUUAUUGGCAUGCUUGUACAUUCCCCUAUUCAUAAAACAACGAUAAUCACCAGAGCAACCAUCAAACACACCCCUUCUUCAGAGAAAGAAGAUCAACAGGAUACUCACCAUGGACUAGUAGUUGAAUGAUGUGCUAACGUUUGGGGGGAAGUUAUCAAAAGUCAUAGACACACAAUCAAGAGUAAUAUGUUAUCUGGCUUAUCUCUUUGGAACUACUUUUAACUUGCAAAAUGUUUGAUGUAUUCAUUUUUAAGGGAAAAAAGUUACAGCUGGUAGUUUGUACAGAAUAUAGCUUACAAUUAUAUUCAUAUAAUAAUGUUCUUUUCGCGGUGGAGGAAUUAAAAUGUACAUCCCACAAAUCUUUCAUCUAAUAGUCUAGGUGAUAUUUUAUAAUAACAUUGGUAUGUCAACAAUGCUGUAGAGUUUGGGGGGGGGGGAAGAGUUUAAAAUGAAAACACUAAGCAACAUGAGAUAACCAGCAUAUUACUUUAUCCAGUACUGAUUUGUUGACCUGUAACAGAUUCAAACAGUAGAUUAGAGAUUUAGAGAAAAACAUUCUCUUUUCCCCACACCUAAGUUGUUUCAAAUUGUCUCCAAUUAGGAAGAAAAAUGUUGGUGUUUUUUUUAACAUCUCUUACAGUUCAUGUACUGUUGAAGCCAUUCCCCAAGGAAUUUCUAUGAGCUGAUUUUAAAAAGUAGAUCUUGAACGUAACAUCUAACAUACUAAUCUUGCAUUAUAUUGACCCAUAUUGCGAUUCUGCAUUCACUCUUCUUUCAGGAUAGGAGGAACUGUCCUUAGAGCAACAACAAGCCUGAGGUUUCAGCUCAGCAAGCUGAGAGUUGCAGACACUUCUCCCGAGGACAUUACCCCCUCUGUCCUCUCAGUCAUGUCUAGAGCAAAUCUGCUUUUCAAACGUCUGAUGGGGGGAAGGAAUGGCCUGGGCUGGAGCGAUUUCUAAGAGCUCGUGCUCUUAGAAGAAGAAACUCAGAGUUAAGAACAAGAUUGUGAAUGUGGGGAACUGGUUGCCCUGUGAAACGUGGAUCUCCUGGAGGACACUGCAUAAUGUUUGGUAUCCUCCCUCCUUUGACCUCUCUUGGCUAUGACAGUUUCUCAGAUUUCCCUUGCUUUUGGUGACACUUCUGAGGAGUAUUGGCUAGUUCUUUGCCGGAGACACCGAGAAUCUGGGAUCUGUGCCCUGUGAUCACUGCCUACCGGUAAAAGAUAAAAGAAGGAUGGUGGACGGCGGAAGCCUCUAGAAGCAUCCCCUGGUCCAGGCCAAGAGCCACCUGGGAGAUCCUGUGGUGCAU